CAGCCGCCGCGGGAAUACGAAGGGGGCUAGCGUUGUUCGGAUUUACUGGGCGUAAAGGGUGCGUAGGCGGACUGAUAAGUCAGGGGUGAAAUCCCAAGGCUCAACCUUGGAACUGCCUUUGAUACUGUUAGUCUUGAGUUCGAGAGAGGUGAGUGGAACUGCGAGUGUAGAGGUGAAAUUCGUAGAUAUUCGCAAGAACACCAGUGGCGAAGGCGGCUCACUGGCUCGAAACUGACGCUGAGGCACGAAAGCGUGGGGAGCAAACAGGAUUAGAUACCCCCGUAGUCCCUGUCUCUUAUAC
rnacentral:rRNA from 1 species